GUCUUUUUGGAAGUAGAAAAAGUCAAGCCUGCCCGCUGAUUAAUUCAAGGGCCGCGGUAUUUUGACCGUGCGAAGGUAGCGUAAUCAUUAGUUUUUUAAUUGGAAUCUUGUAUGAAUGGUUAGACAAGAGAAACUCUGUCUCUUUAUUAAAAAUUGAAUUUAACUUUUAAGUGAAAAGGCUUAAAUUAAUUAAAGGGACGAUAAGACCCUAUAAAGCUUUAAUAUAAAAUGUUAUUCGGCUAAAUUUCUUAUAAAAGUCUUAUAGCAUAGUUUAUUUUAUUGGGGCGAUAAGAGUAAAAUGAUUUUUAACUGCUUGAAUUUAAAGACAUAAAAUUAUUGUAUAAAUAGAUAAGAGAUCCUUGAUAAAGAUUAUAAGUUUAAGUUACUUUAGGGAUAACAGCGUUAUUUUUUUUGAGAGUACAUAUCGAAAAAAGAGUUUGCGACCUCGAUGUUGAAUUAAAAUUUCUUUAUAGAAGCAGAAACUAUAAAAGUUGGUCUGUUCGACCUUUAAAAUUUUACAUGAUUUGAGUUCAAACCGGCGUGAG
rnacentral:rRNA from 1 species